CCUCGUUUUGGGCCUAAGAUGAAGUCAAGAAUUAAUUAAGGAAGUUUCAGACGAAAAGCGAAUGAAAGAAAAGUCCCGAGCCCAAAACCCGAAAGAAAUUAGCUAGGAGAGUUUCGUAAUUCGUCGCAAGGGCAAAAUUGGUAUUUCACGCACACAACUAUAAAUAGAAAAAAAUUGGAAGCCCUAGUCCCAUUUCUCCCUUGCAGCCGCGUCCUUCUCCUUCCCUCUCCCCCGACCUCUCGCUCUCUCUCUCUCGUUCUCCCUCUGCCAUCACCGGAGACUCCAUCUCCGGCCACCAUCUCACCACAUCACUUCCACCAGUCGACGCAACACCUGAACCCGACCAAAACCCACCCGGAAUCACCGACAUGCAUCGCCGGUAGCCUCCACACGCGACCACCAAAAGCUGCGACACCACUGCCCUUUCUCCUUCGUCGAUUUCCGACCAUCACCAUGCCACACUGACACCACCGUCCGACUCAGUGGACAAGGAAGAGCGAAACCCGUGAGCAUCAUCACUCGUCGAUGUCGGGAAACCGCCGUACCAGCAUCGUCGGAGGCCUCGGCCCUGCAUGCCCUCGUUCUCUACUCUCCAGCUCGGAUCGAGCUAAACAACCUCCGUAGCUGGAAUCAAGGCUUCACGAUGCAUCAAAGCCAUAGACCCUCAGCCUCCGAUUUCGGCCAGAGCCCCCGCACGCGUCUCACGCGCCACCGCUGGCACGUGAGCCAACCUAGCGUCACCGUGAGCACCACCAGCUUAUUCUCUUCGUUCGGUAAGCUGGAUUCUAUCCCUUCUUCUUAGUGAGGCUUCUACUUUGAUCUAGAUUGAGAACCCUAACUCGAUUUCUUAAUUUGAAAUCUGUGAGGAUUUUGGAAUAUGUGUUCUGGAGGUUUUGGAGGAAGGGAGGUCUGCAAAAUUGUAAGCCUUCGGAGAAGAGAAGUGCUGGGUCAGUUCCAUUUGUAUUGAGGAAAGGUGCCCAAAGCAAUUGUUGGAGCUGGAUUGCAGCAAUUGGAUUUAGCCCUCAGUUUGGAGAAGAAGAAAUGGACCCGAGCGUGUGCAUUUGGAAGUGGACAAAGUGUUGAAAGUCGAGAACGAACCCGAAUGUGGGCAAGCACUCCAAUUCCAGGUAGGGUGAGCUGUCCCUUCCUUGUUAGAGGCUUUUCAGUAUAUGUGGAAUGCUAUACUAUGAUAGUAUGUUGCCUGCAAGAACGUUUUUGGUUGUUCAUCAGUCGAUGCCUCGUGAUACAUGUGUUUUCAGAGCUGAUAAUUGUUGAUUGCGAAAACCGAGGCUAGACUUGCAUGUUGAGAUACUGUACCCUUUGUAUGUUUGUGACCUGAAAGUGAAUGGGACCUAGACGCGUUGAUUCCUAGGGAUCCCACGGUGUCGAUAACCGUGAACCUCCGGAGGGGGCUGUGCUCCUAUGUUUGUCGGGGAAAGGUAAGUACAGACAGUGAACCAGUCAUAGGAGACUCAGAGCCAGGAAAUGGACACUUUCGCUACUUGUAGUCACAAGGACUACAAAGUAGUUGGCUGGUUCUCUUACUCAGGACGAACCAGAUCGGUCACUGAUUUAUUUUACUUUAGCCGGCAGGUAAGUAUCUCGGAGCUCCAAGUGUGUGAAGCAUACUGCACAUGUUUAAUGAAAGAAAACGAAUGUUUGUGGUUGCCACUUUUCUUAAAGCAUUUUUCGAUAAACGUGCACAAUAUUAUGUAGUAAAUAUUUUCAAGUAUAUUAUUUUUUCAAACCUAGCAUGGUUGGGUCGGCCCCUACUGGGCAUGCGAGGACGAAAGCUCACCCCUACUAUAGUGUGCAGGUUUCGAGCAUGUGGUCGGGAAGCGUACAGGGGAGGCACAUGGCACGGCUUGGCGCAUUUCUCUUUAGUUUUAUCAAAAGAAGGUUUUGGUCCUUAAUCGGAUUUUGUAGUAGCUAGUUUAUUUACUUUUUAUUUAUUUCCUACUCGUUUACAAAAAAAUUCCGGGAGACCCGUAACCCUGGGGCGCGUCUCCCAUACUUGUAGUUACUUAGUGAUCCGUUUUAUUUUCCAAAUUGGGCUCCGAUUGCAAGCCCAAAACUCUUAGCCCAUUUCGAAUUCCGCUUUUGACAAUGUGUUGUUAGGUUGCUAGAAUGAUUUGUCCAAGAAAGUGUUUUGUAAACCAACAACCUAAACUCAAAAGGCCUUGCGGUUUCGGGUUGAUGAGCUAUCGAGAUGCCAUUCGUGACAUGUCGAUUCCUCAUUGGCUCGGAGUCGCGGCGCUGUGGGACCCCCCUUUCGGGUCACCACAGUAAAGUGGUAUCAGAGCUCUAGGUUCCGAAAUACUUUCGAAAUCGUUUUUGCAAAACUGCAACCCUUGUCAUAAUUUUUUUCAAGUGUCGAAUUUGGUUGGGCAAAACGCUCGAAUUUCUUGGACAUUUUAAAGUAUGUUGGUAAAAAAA